rnacentral:rRNA from 1 species
UAGGGAAUCUUCGGCAAUGGGGGCAACCCUGACCGAGCAACGCCGCGUGAGUGAAGAAGGUUUUCGGAUCGUAAAGCUCUGUUGUAAGAGAAGAACGUGUGUGAGAGUGGAAAGUUCACACAGUGACGGUAACUUACCAGAAAGGGACGGCUAACUACGUGCCAGCAGCCGCGGUAAUACGUAGGUCCCGAGCGUUGUCCGGAUUUAUUGGGCGUAAAGCGAGCGCAGGCGGUUUAAUAAGUCUGAAGUUAAAGGCAGUGGCUUAACCAUUGUUCGCUUUGGAAACUGUUAAACUUGAGUGCAGAAGGGGAGAGUGGAAGUCCAUGUGUAGCGGUGAAAUGCGUAGAUAUAUGGAGGAACACCGGUGGCGAAAGCGGCUCUCUGGUCUGUAACUGACGCUGAGGCUCGAAAGCGUGGGGGGCAAACAGG